rnacentral:lncRNA from 1 species
AAUGGAAGACUCGGAGGUUAGUGAUUAGCAAGCAGCAAUAAAGUACAGGUUGUUAAAGAAAAUUUAAUGCGAUGUAUUUUGUGGCCAUCAUCAGAUUACUCAAGAGGUUUGACCCAGUCAACGCUGCCCCAACCCUACAUACCACGAAAGAGAACAGAAGAGCACAAUGAUUUGGGCGAUGAAGGCUUCGGUACGAAAGUGCUCGGAUGACCACGGAUGCAAGAGGUCCGAGUAAAGACCAGAAUUACGAGCGGGCAUUGUGGUCAACCGUUCAAUAUCUGUCCGAUGUGCAAGUGCGGAGCCUGUAGAAUAAAGUCAUGUCUGCUGAAAGUGUCGGUGACGCGCGUCGACGAAGCGGGGGGAACAGAUUGGCGGGUGAAGCCAGCCAUAGUGCGAUGACUUAGCGGGCAAUGCGCCGUAGGUGCGACAGAUCGAAAGCAUAAAUCUAGUAGGGCGCGCUUAGCUACGCUUGGUAAAGAUGAACUUAUUUCAGAAAAGACGGUCGACCGGGGCGGAGCGUGGUUAACUAAAAGCCUAGGAGAAAGUUGAUGGCAUAACGUGUUGAUGUCCAGGCGUACAUAGUGGGAGGUCCGGCGUGUGGGGCACAUCAAGCAGUUUGAAGAUGAAAUGGGCUCCUUGAUGCGGCUCCGCAGGGAUUUAUUGGGGCUUUCAAUGUUCCGAAAGAUUGCAUCGUGAUUUGUAAAGUUGGUCAGAAUGCCAAUUACAUGGGGGCAUACCAGGCACGUGCCUGGCAAGCGAGUUGCAGCAUACAAUUGUGAAGACCAUGGGCAUUUCGAGAUGGGCUCUAAUGUUAUAGAGAAGAUAGAACCAGCCUCGUCGAGAACACAAAGGUAUGUUUUUAGGUCCGGUAUCGGGAGCAUGGUUCACAAAAUGGGUCGAAGGCCGCCGUAGCCAUUAAACAAAUGUAGACAAACGGGGGCUGUGAAUAGAUUUGUCGCAACGUUAUAUCAUCUGCCAGAUUUGGCAUCGCCAACAACAAUUACAACCGAACAGGGGUCAGUUCACUGGUUCCGAAAAGUGCAAGAUUUUGCAAAAGAAAAUGGGAAUGGCAAAUUAACUGCGGACUGUCUACCCUAUGGUACGCCCAGGUACUGGCGCAAGUGCGAGGAGCCUGCUAAUAAGGGGUGAUCAUCAUGCUAAUAAAGGGGAACACAUCAGGAAAGAAGCGAAGGGAAAUUGGCAUACCAGACGUGUAGAGCCCUGCAGCUUUGGGGCAGUGUUCGACGGUCACCCAAGAAAGCAACUGGAGAGCAACUCCAUUUCGACGUGGUGUAUGGGGCCAUGACGGCAGGUGUUGGCCGAGUAAGUAGGAUUCAGGUCACGGGCGGUCGGAACCCAAAGGCAGUAUGCAAAUCGACCUUCGUGAAGAUUACUGCAGUAUGAUGACAGACGAACUGGUGCGACGUAGAUGAAAAGAAAGAAUGUUAGCUUUGGAUUCCUGACCAAAGGUACGAAAGAAAAAGCGUCAGAGGCCUACGAUCGAAAAAGGUGAAAAGGGUGAAAGUGUUUGCUGGUCGAGACGGAUCUGGUUUGGAGACGUGGACUGCCAUGGACAGAAAAUGAUAGAGUCUUGAGUAAAUGGUCAGCCUAAUUGAGGCAAGGGACGCCGAGUUUAAGGGUUUGUGUUGAGGCCUUUGUCUCAAGCGAACGCCUGUACGAGGGGUCGAGGAGUUGGCGCCCGCAGAAAGGUGAUCCUAAGAGUGAAUGGAAAGUACUGUGAAAAAUCUAGGCCGUCCUUGUCGCACCUCCGAAAGACUUACAGCGACUUAUAAGGCGAAGCGCACAUGCGACCCGCUCGGAUCGCGCAUGAUGGACAAAACAGAGUCGCCAACCGGAGAACUUUAUCUUAUUCCUCAAAGGAAAGGAGAAAUACGAUAAAACCGCAAGGAAAGAACGACAAUGAUAUGGUCAGUGGCGGGCAACGCAAUACAGGGUUCGGGGUGCCGUACGGCAAGGGAAGGUAUUAGCACCGCCUUGACGUCCGUUGUAACUGCCACCGGGGAAGCAGUUAGGGGUAGUUGGCGCGGUUAUUGUUAGCUUGAGAAAUGUAGGCUUCUCGAGUUAUUAGGUGGGGAAAAGAAGAAAGGAUGAGAAGAGAAUAUUUUUUGGAUUUUUAAAACGGAUUAAAACCUAAGUUUUUUAUUAAUGGGCCUUGACAUGAUUUUGCAAUCCCUGCUCCUGGCGGGGACGUAUGUCAAUAAGGAUGAACUCAGAGGCCGUGUAUGUGAGUUGCUCGGUAGUGAAACAUAUUUGUUUGUUGGGGAUUGUUAGCAAAGCCCUCGCACCUACUUGGCCUUAUACCUGACGAAAGACAUGUCUUUGACGCCAAACAAGAUGGAGGAGCGGACCUGGCCCGUAUCGACCAUCAAUGCGCACCACUGAGUGGAUUUAUUAGAGGCGAAAUGUGCAACACCAUUCGGGAACGUAAUGUUACUCAGACUUAUCCACUUCAUCAAUUAAUUGUGUACAGCGGCACAAGCCAUUGCUAUCCAAUUUCUGUAAUGUAAGACAAUUCAUCUAAUCCACCGUUUAGCAAAGCAGUUUUAGAUUAAAUCAGCACAGGCGGCAGAAGAUGACGUAUUUGUGAUUGGAUGAAUGUGAUUUGUGUAUGCAGAGUAUGCCCUAUGAAAGUAGCGAGUACAUUAUGACUGCAAAUACUUACAUACGUUUUGUCUAAGCAAUAACUACGGGACUUGCAAAGGCAACUGUCAAUACGAAUUGAUGAUCCGCUUGAACAACCGUCUGGAUAUUGUCUACCACGCAGGUAAAGUUUCUGUGUUUCCUUACCAAAUUGUUGCUUGGUAAAGAGAAUGGUUUGAAUAUUUAACAAGAUGUUUGGCAGGUAAGACCAAACACUUAACUGGCUUAUGACGGAAAAGCUCAUUACAACUGGGGCACAUUAAUAAGCAAAGUCGGCCAAACAACUGCCUCAGGGAACAUAAGACGGCACUCGGGUUGGUAAUUAGUUCCAUGCACGCAGGGUAAUUUACAGUCUGUUCCUAGCUAGCUUAGUAAGAAAAAGAUAUUGAAUAUUUUCAUAGACCGGCGGGCCCUUGCGUUUUGAAGAAUCAAGAACGAUACAUGUAGGGCUUAACACUCGUUACUAUUACUUUGAGGAGAACCUACAAUAAGUAGUCUGGAUUUACGGCUGGCAAUGACUGCAUCAUGGCUAGUGGUCAUGCGGUCCGCUUGUUUCGAUCGAAAUUUUAUUUAGAGAUACGAAAUUAUAAAGUCUUAGACUAUAUAAACAGUGUUAGGUUUGAGAGGAUAAGUUAUUAGAAGGGACAAGACUAAAAAAUAUGGAUUACCUAACCAUUGAGCGCUUCACAUAGCUUGGGCCUAAUAUUAGGAUUACGAACUGGAGAAUAUUCAUCCAGUGUAAUUUUUUCUUUAGAUUUAGUUAUGAAAACGAUUUGAAGUGAUUUGAUGAUUAAUAGAAAAUAGUUUGAAAUUGUAUUGAAGGUGAUUAGAAAAUGAAAUUGAAUGUUGAAACAUGGAAAGUAAGUGAAAUUUGAAUCAAAAGUUAGUGAAUUUUGAAUGUGAUUAUUACAUCUUGACAAUAUGGAAAGAGACGCUACCUAUUAACUGACUAAGCACAUGAAAUGAUUAAACAAAUAAUUUGCUUAAUUAAUUAACUUAACAAAUAAACUCUAACUAAUCAAAAACAAAAUAUUAAAUCAAUAAAUUAACUAAUAUUUUAAAUAAAUAACUCUACAGAUACAUGAAAAUCACCAAAAAUAUAACAUAAAAUAAAAACUAUAAAAAAGAAAAUGAAAAAGAAUGGCAAACAUGAAUAUAUAUAAAAAAUAAUAUAAAUUCCAAAGGGUCAAAUCCAAAACAGUAAACCUAAUUAAAUUAUAUAUAUAAUAUAUAUAUAUAUAUAUAUAUAUAUAUAUAUAUAUAUAUAUAUAUAUAUAUAUAUAUAUAUAAUAUAGUAUAUAUAUAUAUAUAUAGUAUAUAUUAAUAAUAUAUAUAUUUAUAUAUAUAUUAAUAUACUAUCCAGNNNNNNNNNNNNNNNNNNNNNNNNNUAAACUACAAUAAAUGUAACAAAAUAAAUAACAAAUAAAAUUAAAAACUAUAAAAAUAAAAAUAAAACAUAAGAAUGGCAUAAACAUGAAUAUAUAUAAAAAUAAAUAUAAAUUCCAAAUGGGUCAAAUCCAAAACAGUAAACCUAAUUAAUUAAUUAAUUAUAAUAUAUAUAUAUAAUAUUAUAUAUAUAUAUAUAUUAUAUAUAUAUUAUAUAUAUAUAUAUUAUAUAUAUAUAUAUAUAUAUUAUAUAAUCUCUCUCUUUUCCCCAAUUUUUUUUUUUUUUCUCUUUUUUUUGGUUUUAGUUAAUUAUUUGAUUAAAUUUUUGUUUGAUUAGUUAGAGUUUAUUUGGUUAAGUUAAUUAAUUGUUAAGCAAAUUAUUUGUUUAAUCGAUUUCAAUGUGCUUAGUCAGUUAAUUAGGUAGUCUCUUUGUCCAUAUUGUCACAGAUGUAAAUAAUCACAUUCAAAUUCACUAACUUUUUGAUUCAAAUUUCACUUACUUUCCAUAGUUUCAACAUUCAAUUUCAUUUUCUAAUCACCUUCAAAUACAAUUUCAAACUAUUUUUCUAUUAAUCAUCAAAUCACUUCAAAUCGUUUUCAUAACUAAAUCUAAAGAAAAAAAAUUACACUUGAUGGAAUAUCCAGUCGUAAUCCCGAAUAUUAGGCCCAAGCUGUAAGAGCUUGUAAGCCAUAUAUAUUCGUCUUCUCUUCAAAACACUUAUAAUUAUUCAAACUUCUUUUCUCAGUAAAAUCCGAAGAAAAAGAAUACCCUGGAUGAAAUAUCCAGUCGUAAUCACGAAUAUUAGGCCCAAGUUGUAAGAGCUUGUAAGCCUUAUGUAUUCGUCUUCUCUUCAAAACACUCUAAUAUUCAAAUCAUUUUCAUAAGUAAGUUGGAAGAAAAAGAUUACCUGGAUGAAAUAUUCAGUCGUAGUCCCGAAUGCUAGGCCCAAGUUGUAAGAGCUUGUAAGCCAUAAGUGUUCGUCUUCUGUUCGUCUUCCCUCCAAAACACUUGUAAAUAUUCAAACCAUUUUCUUAAUAAAAUUGGAAGAAAAAGAUUACCUGGGUGAAAUAUCCAGACGUAGUCCCGAGUAUUAGACCCAAGUUGUAAGAGCUUCUGAGUCAUAAGUACUCGUCUUUCAAGCCCAAAAAUACAUCCAACCAAUCAAACUCUUUUUCACCGCCGUGCGAUUAAUACAAAAAACCCUUUUCAUAAACGAAAGAGAUCUUGUCUUGAGAUGAUGCAAAGCAAUGCUUCGGCCAUAAUUGUUGAGUUGAGAUAAGUGACGUUUUUUCGAAUGUUGAUUUGUAAAUCCAUUUGAUGUGUGGUAUACGUCUUCUCCUUAUCUGUUUUGGGUAAAACAAUGUUUUUCGUCGAUUAAUACAAUAUAGCUUUCGCUAAAAUCGACCAACAAACAAACAUUUUUCUACCCAGAACUACAUAAGCCUUGAUUUCUCUAUUGAGAUACGUAGGAGCAGGAUUUGUAAAUCUUGUCAGGCCCAUUAAUAAAAAACUUAGGUUUAGUCCCCUUUAUUGCAAAAAUCCAAAAACAUCUUCUCUUUUCUUUUGAUCCUAUCUUUCUUUCCCACCUAAUAUCUUGAGAAGCCCAACAUUUUAAGCUAACACUAACGCACGCAACUAACCUAAUGGUUCCCGUUGAGUACAACGAACGUGAGGGGUGCUAAUACCUUCCCCUUGCGUAAUCGACUCCCGAACCCUGAUUUGGUUGCGACGACCAUAAUCAUUGUCGUUCUUUCUUGGGUUUUAUCAAUAUUUCCCCUUUCCUUUUUAGGAAUAAAUAAAGUUCGGCGGCGACUUUGUUUAGUCCAUCAUGCGAGCGUGCGAUUGCGCUUCGCUAGGUUGUAUUCUCAUUUUUCCAGGUGCGACAUGAUGCUUUACUUUUUAAUUGAUUAAGUCAUUCUUUGGAGAACACCUAACCCUCUAUUCACAAGCAUGGAUCCUUGAACCAAUACAUCUUCCAAAGGAAGGAAAAAAGGUCAAGUUUCCACACAAUACCAUGAAAGGGGGGAGACUUACAAUCUCACUUACUAGAAUGUUAUGCCUUUAGGGUCAAAAUUUAGCUCUAUGUUAAGCAAUCGUAAUUGGACUUAUGUAGAAGUCACAACUAUCUGAGGUCGGGCAAUAGAAAUUUUGGUGUUAAUGCAUGUUAGAGAUAUGGUAUAAUGAACCAUACUCCUAAAACAUACCACACCCAAAAAGAAAAAGAUCAAAGGAUGGACCUAUCUAAUCCAUACUUGUAUUAGUUCAUCUAACAUAAAGUUAUUGAUGAACCAAUUAGCCUUAGGAUAUUGAGACUUCAUUGUUUAAUGGAAAGGAUGGGAGAGAAUGGGAUUAAAGAUGAAGAGGGAAGGGAGAUGAGAGAAACACAAAUUGGUCAUGGGAGGAAUUUUAUCAAAUUAAAAUCAUUCAUUCAUUUUGGGAGAUGAAAUAUACAUUUCAUCAAUCCCCUAAAUCUAAUGGUUUUAACUCAACAAAAGUCAAAUCAACCUUGACCAAGGCCCAAACAGAUAGUUAAACUUCAUAAGUCAAUAAAAAUGGUUCUACAUAAUUAAUCAGUUAAAAAUGCAUUUAAAUUAAAUUUAGUUUGGUCAAAACCUAAAACGUCUUCAAAACACCAAAUAAAUGGCCAAGAGAUUUAUCCUAGGUCAAACAAGAUCAAAGGAUCUUAGACAAAAAAAAUCAUAAUUUUUGAAAAGUCGGAAGUAUUUUUAAAUAAUUAAAAAUAUGCACAAAAACAAUUAAUUCAUGAAAAUAUCAAAAUUAGUCUAAAAAAUAAUUUUAAUUCAGAAAAUGAAGGUGGAAAAUAUUUAUAGAUUUUUGGUGAAAGUCCCAUAUUUUUUGGAUUAAAAAUGAAAUUGAUAUGAAUUAAUUAAAAUAAAUGGAUUAAACAUAAAAAAAAAACAAGGGUCAUUAGAUCUCCCUCAUUAAUUGAGGUGGCAGAUCUGAUGGCCAAGCGCGCGCUAUCCACGAUGGUCCUUAGUCAAUGCACUGCAUGCUUGGUAAUCACUUUGGACGCGUGAGAUUAGAACAUGAGAACCAUAUUAGAUGGUCUGGAUUGAUCUAGCGCACCACCGGAGCCCUAGCUCCGAUCAUCUUCUCCGGUGAUCACCACAGGUCUAGUUCAGGCUCAACUCCAUGUAAAUGAAAUGUGAAUACACUAAUUUGAAGGAAAAAUGCUCCGGAGCACGAAUCUGGCCUCAGUUUUCUCCAAUUUCAAGUAUAUAAAAAGAUACAGGGAUUUGAAUUUUGAGGAUCAUGAAGCGAGUUGCUUCGAUUUUACCUCAAAGUAACUCAAUCUCUUUGCCUACAUUGAUAGGACUUCAGACAACCAAAAAUCAUAAAUAAUGGUGAAGACUUGAGGGAGAAUCGAAGAGAUGAAUUUUUUGAAAAUCCACCUUCAAUGGAGCUUCGAACUUGCUCGAUCUUGAUUCCAAUUGUGCAUGGCCUUGCUUCAGAAGCUUGCUGGAAGUGAUUAGAAUAAAGAAAAGGCAUGGACUCUUGUAGUUUCAAUCUCAAAACAUAUAGAGAUUUGAAACUCGAUUUUCAAAGAAAACCUUCAAGAUUAUCCUUCAAUGGUAAGGGUUUGGAUUGCAGGUUCAAAGCUUGGGCAUGAGGUCCAUAACUUUGAGCAAUGAGGGUUGUAUUUAUAGCCAAGGAUAUUCAUUUCCACAAACUUCCAGAAAUGGAAAAAUUUGAGUAGUUCUCUUUGCAUGCUUGCAUGGGCGUGUGAUAGGCCCAUCAAGUGAUGUAUUCAGGUCCAAAAAUGAGUGAGAAUCAUACUAAAAUCAUAUUGUGAGGCCAUGCAAUCGUGUAUGAAAUGUGGAAGUGAAAAUCAUCCAAAUGGUUCCUCAUAUUGCACCCAUGCACAAGUCCUUCAUCCUUUGGUCAAAUGAGAUGAUCUUGGUUUUUUGGAAAGGUGGGAUCAAGGGGAACAACUUUCAUGUUGAACACUUUUUCAUUUGAAGCUUGUAUCAUGAUGAAUUUUGAGGUGGAAGUUUAGGAAAUCAAACAUAUUUGAAAAUUUUCUAAGUCCCAAGUCAAAUGUCCACUUCUUCCACCUUGAAUAACUUUUUCUAUAGACUUCAAAUGAGAAAAGUUCCUUCAUUAAAGUUGUAUCUAUUUCCAACCUCUUAAAUUUGGUCACAAAUUUGACCUCAUUUGGAUUUGGCAUUAAGUAUUUAUGCAUUUUAGAAAUUGAGGAAAAUCACUUGUUCAAUGGUAUUGACCCAAAAUGACCUAUAAUGUUCCCUCUUGGAACAUACAUUUGCAAGUUGAAUUUGAACUUCCUCAAAACAUCAAAUUUGAAUUAGACAUAUUGAGUUUGAUCAUGGAAUUUUAAUGGCUUUCAUCUCAUAAAAACUGAGCAAGUUAUGGUCUUAGGAAGCUGACCUCCAAACUAGGGUUCACACAAAAUGACCUAUAAUCUUUCACCAUAAAAAAUGACUUUCUAAGAAAACUUAGCUCUUAACUUUAACAUGAAAGUUGUUUGGAAUGUCAUUUUGAGUAAAUUUUCUCUUGAAAUCAUUUUCAUAUGACAAAACUUGUAGGAGAUAGGGUCUAAGGAACCCCGGUUUUGACCAGUUGACUUUCUCUAGUCAACCACCAUGAACCAUCUUGCUAGCUUGACAUUCUCUUGACUUUUGGGGGUCAUGGAGGAUCAUAUAGGCAUAAGAUGAUGUAAUAUUAAGUAUCCCUUGAAAUAUUUGAUCAAUUGUUGAAGAAACUUGUUGAAGAAGUCACACAAGGUACCCAGAUGAAUUAGGGUUUCCAAGGUAAACAAUCUCCAAACUCUUGAUGUAUUCUUGAUCAAAAUGAUAUGUGAAGAUCAUGGGGAUCCAUAUAUUAUGCUUAGAGCCAAAUUUAACUAUUUCUUAAUUUAACUCCUUGCAUUGAGGGUCUCAAACCCUAGAUGUGAUCUUGAUGGAGCAUAGGUGAACACACACACUACCUACAAAAGCAAUAAACUAUACAUUGACAUACUUUUUGGUAUUUUGGUUAGUAAAUAAUGAAAAACAAAUUAUGAUACAAUCAAAAGUGCUUGGUGAUCUCUCCCAAUGCAAACCCAAUGGAUGAGAGGGGUAAGUAGGAUGCCAAGGUGUGAUCCUAAAGCCAAUGCAUAUGAUGAGAUGGCAUGAGGGAUCUUAGGAUCAAAAUUGGGGUCUUACAUUGACUAGGGACUAACUCCUUAUAUCUUCAGUGUUUGGGGAUUUGAAACAAUUCCUUACAUCAUUGGUAAAGUUUUCUUUAAAAGCAUACCACAACAAUUUCAGGUAUUUUAUUUUCAUCAUCCUCAUUCCAAUCUUUUCUAAACAAUAGUUUUAUGAAGACAAGUGAAGAGGGAGAAAUAUUUUUGUUUUCUAACAUAAAUGAAAAAUGAGUGAAUACGAAUAGAUUAAUUUAAAAUAUGCAUAAAUAUUUCAUUAAUCUUACCUAUUCCAAGAACUCAACAAUGCUUAAAAGUAAAUAAACAAUCAAUGUGCAAAUAAAUUACAAAUGGAAAUGUUGAAACAACCAAAUGAUUGCCAACUUUAGGGAAUUGACUUAUUUGUCUGAUCCACAGACUUUAGGGAAUUGACUUCUUGUUUAAUCCACGAACUUUAGGGAAUUGAAUUCUUCAAGCUUGAUCCAUGCCUUACUUUCCAUGUCAUGAGAGAGGGUUGUUUAUGACAUUUAGUCCCAAAUAUUUGAAGCUCAAGAUCUCAUUGUCGACCAACUCACGCGCUCUAUGCUUCAAAGCAUAACAGACCUCUAAGUCAUGUACAAAAGCACCCUCAUAGAAAGGACAAUGAGCACUUGGAUUGUACCAUAAAGGUAAAGAGUCAGGUGGAGUACCCAAGGUUCUUGGAACCACUAGUCCCUUUUGCAGCAAGGAAGGAUAUAGGUCAGUGUACGUCAUGGGGAUUGGAAUGAAUGGGGGUUUACCCUUUUGUCCCAUAUUCUGGUUUGGAGUAUUUUGUAGGCGUGGAGCCUGGACCCUUGGUUGAUGAUAAGUUGUUGCUACAGGUUCUAGUUGGCAUGGAUGUGCUACUUUAUUUGGUUGAUACCCUGGUGCAAAAGGUUGCUGAUAUGCAGCAGAAUCCACUUGCUGGUAAAUGGGUGCCACAACAACUAUACAUGGUUGUUGAUCAAACUGCAUAGGAUAGGUGGUUUAUUAAUAAGUGAGUUGUUGAUGUUGCUUCUUCCAUGAAUGGCUUCUUCUUUGAUUAAAAGACACAACAUUUGUCUCACCUUCCUUUUUCUUCUAAAAACCUCCCGAAAAUUUCCUAGCAUUGUUAUCGGAGGUUUUGGCAGCAAUUAUCAUCUUGCCAUUUUUCAAUCCAACCUCAACCUUUAUACCCACGACAACUAAGUCAGAGAAACUUGAUGAUACGCUACUCACCAUUAUUUCAUAAAACAUAGGCUUCAUAAUGUCCAUGAACCAAUCUUCCAAUUCCUUCUCUGCCAGAGGCAGUUCGACUUGUGAAGCCUCCUCUCUCCACUGUUGUGCGUAUUCCUUGAAAGAUUCGUUAUCUCUCUGGGACAUGCUAAGCAACUGCCUCCUACCCGGGGCCAUAUCCAUGUUAUAUUUGUAGUGCUUAAUGAAGGCAUCAUAUAAGUCUUGGAAACAACGACCGAAUACCAAACAUAUUUCUCUAAUAUUAGCGAAAUAUAAGUCUUGGAAACAACGAUAGUACAUAAUGAGAUGAAUUUUGAGGCAUGAGUGACCCUCGUACUUAUUAAAGUCAGGGGUCUUGGAUUUCGCGGGGAUCACAAGACCGAAUACCAAACAUAUUUCUCUAAUAUUAGCGCCAAAGACUUUGUCGCCUUCCAUAGCCCUCAAUAUGUUCUCAAGGAUCGGGUAAUUUUCCUUUGUGCCCUUUAUAUAUGCAUGUCUUUCGUCCACUUCAUCAGAAGAUUCAGAAGCAUGGUAUAUCUGAUGUUGAUCUUCAAUGUGUGGUUGCACAUGUGUAUGAACGAUUGAUGGAGCGAUGGUGUUGACCACAUGAUGCGCCUCAGUGGAGAAGGGUAAAGGCAUUGCCUGUAGCAUGGACUGCAUAAACCCUGGGAAUCCUUCAAACAAGGGCAUGGAACCAAGAGGUAGACCAUAAGUUGGACAUGUGGUUGGCAUAUUUCUUACAUGUUGGGGUUCAGUGUAGGACCGGAGACCUUUGAGACAACCCUUGCUUGAGGAGUGUCCAACUUGGAUGACAGAGAUUGAGUCAUAUCCAUGAUCUAACCCAUAUUUCCUCUUAGGUCACCGAGUUCUAAACUCAUCUUUUCUAGUUCUUGUUCUUAAUCAGUCACCCUUUGACGAGCGUUGGCUCGAGAGUUGUAGUGGUGUUGAGGACUCAUGGUGGAACUUGAGGAAGAAAGAUGAAGUGAGCUUUUAUUUUUAAAAAUGCAUGAAGAUGGAUAUUGAUACAUGAAAAUAAAUUUUUGGUUAUUUAGGAAAAUGAUAUGCAUGCAUGCUGAUGAAAUGCGAUUUUCUUUGAAUUUUGGUAGGUAAAGAAAAUGCCAUGCAAAUAUAUAGUUAGGAUCCGGGAUCACAUGAGUAAAUCAGAAUAUCCUACUAGGUAAGUUUCCCUAUAUCAGAUAGUUAUAUGCUUUCUACCCAUUAACCGCUCAUGGGAUAGUUUCUAGGUUGAUGGAUAAGGUUCUCAGAGUCACGGACUAUAAUCAUAUCAACAACAUGCAACAGGAUAUUCGUUUUAGGACAAGAGUGAUGAAAAAUUCUAUUCUGAGUGGGGUUUUCAUGUUAGGCGCACAAGGAGUGGCCCUUGGAGACUAAUAUUAUGUAACCUCCAAAGCAGAAACAUGUUAGGCGCAGCGGAAUUUAAAAAUUUCUCCAUUUAGUGAUCCUUACGAAUGGGCAUGAUCAGUGAUAGAAUCGUUACCUCUUGUGGCGAUUCAAAUCUUUGGUGCAGAUCUCUGACAAUGAUCAAAACCUUUGAUACAGAUCCACAGGGCGAUCACGAACGUUGAACGAUGACAACGUCUCUACUCAGUCCACACGAACGGAUUCCUUCAAUCGCAGUGCUAGCUAUUAUGAAUGAAGGCUUUGAGUGAGAGAAAGAGGGAAACUAAAUUCCAAGUCUCUACUUGAAUUUCUGUCUGAGUGGAGUCAAGUCACAAUGCUUCUACCCAAGGGGUUCUAUUUAUAGAACCACUUGUGUGGGCUUCAAGCUAAAAAGCCCACUUAAGUGUAUUUUGGCCCAUAUCUUAUAAUAUGCCCAAAAUCACUUAAGUAUUUGCGUACCUUACCAUAUUUCUUCUCCCACUUAAGUGCACCGUACCUUACGGUGUUCCUUAGUUACUCUAUCUCUCAUCAAUCCGUCCUUUGUGUGUGACCCUAUAGGGUUCGCGCGUUGGCAUUAUAUCAAAUCACGCAUUUAACAUAAUAAACAGUGAGCGGUAUCUAGCAACACAUCCUGCUACCAAGUCACGAAAAUAUCAUGUGAUCUGACAAAACCUCCUAUUAAUAAUUAUGUGUAUAAUACCCUUUGCCUUAUGUCUAUAUUGAACACAAGGUAUAGACCUUGUCACCCUUGUCCAGUUCAAUAUUGGGCCCAUAGACAUUUAUCGUGUUACGCAGGAUGGGCAAAUUCCAUCUAGGACACUCAUGUCCCUCAGCAUGCGUUGUGGAGUACCUCAACUGUCUUUAUGGUUAUCCAGUUACGGACAACGUUGGAUCAGCAAUAAAGCACUCGACUCUACAUCUAGGAUCCAUAGUGGUUUCAGGUCGAAGAGUGGUAUACACUAUUAUCACCAUGAGAAUAACUUAUGACACUUUGCAUAACUUUCUAUAUAGUAUUCUCAUAGCGGUCAAUCCGGUAUAAAUAUUACUCCUAAUUAUUCAUACCUAUGUUUAAGACUUGAUAACUCUUUAUCCAUGAUCCAUGAGAUGUGAUCAUCAGUCUACAAAGAUAAUAGUCUUAAUGCUUUAAUGUUAUCCCACUUCACACUAAAGCUCGGCUACGGAUACUUUAAGAAUAAUGUCCUUAUGUUUAAUGUGUUAUCAUGAUUAAGUCACACUUAAUACAUUAAAUGGACUAUCUAUUCCAGGGACUUUAUUAAUCAACCAUAAUAAAGAAAAUGCCUUUAAAUAAUUCGAUACAAGUACCAAAAGUAUUGGCUUCUAGGGCUUACACCAACAAUGGACCCUUCAUGAAUCAACAUUAUGUGAUAGGCUAGCCAUCUUAUAACGAGAUCUACGAAUAGGUCUACUCUAUAGGGAGUCUUCAUGUUAGGCAUGCAAGGAGUGACCCUUGUGGACUAACACUACACAUCUUCUAAUUUUAAACUAUAUGUUCUCUCUUCUUUUUCCAAAACUUGGGUGUAGAGUUUUACUCAUGAUAAAGACAAAGAAAAAAAGGAAAGUAAAUAAGAAAACAAAGAAUAAGAAAACAAUUAAAUAAAGGAAAUAUUUAUUGCAUGGUUAACUAAGUUAGGCUUGACUCUCUCUUGCAUGGAGCAUAUUUCUCAGCAAAGUCUCUAUCUAUCGUACCUUGAAAAAUAUGAUCCUUUGCGAAGUGCAUCGCACGCUCACGGAAAAAUGUUUGAACAGAGUCACCACCAAACUUUAUUUAAUCCAAUGAAGGAAAAUGGAAAUAUCGAUAAAACCUUUGAAAAGAACAUGGUCGUCGCAACCAUAUUUGUGUUCGGGAGUCGGUUACACAAGGGGAAGGUAUUAACAUCUCUCACGUCCGUUGCACUCAACGGGAACCUUUUAGUUAGAUUUACGAUUUGAAUGUUAGCUUAUAUCAUCUAUUUUCUUUGAAUUAUUAAAAGAUAAAAGAGAAAAAGAAAGGGGUUGCAAAAACGUUUUUUAUUAAUGUGCCUGACAAGAUUGUGGGUCUUGCUCCUACGUAUCUCCGGCUACGAUGGAGAACUCAUGGCAUACGUAGUUAUGGUUAGAAAAAUGUUUGUUUGUUGGUCUAUUUUAGCAAAAUCUAUUUUGUGUCAAUCGACAGAAGAACAUUGCUUGCUACCUAAAACAGGCGAGGGGCGGGCGUUUGCAUCACGUUGAAUUGAUUUCUACAUAUCAACAUUCACGGGAAAAAGUGACGUAUCUUAACUCACAUAUGUGGAUCAAGCGUUGUUUUGUAUCGUCUCGAGAUGAAAUAUCUUUCAUUUUGAAAAAGGUUUUUGAGGAUCGCAUGGUGGCGAGAAAAAGAGUUUGAUUGUUUGAAUUUGUUUUAGGUGAAUGACAACCGCUCGACGAGAACGAGACAUAAGCCUCAGUGAAGCUAGGGGAAAUAUACCCGAACACAUCGCACGCUCGAACAUACAACAGAGUUGCUAUCGAACUUUAUUUAUUCCCGAAGGAAAGGGAAAACAUCGAUAAAACCCAAGGGAAAUAGAAAAUGGAUAAGGAAGUUAGUUAUGCAAGUGGAGGGUAUAAGCACCCCUCACAUCCGUUGUACUCAACGAGAACCGUUUCGAUUGUUCUUUGCUCAGAUGGGUGUUACAUCUAAAGAUUACUUGCAAAAGGAUAAGGAAAAAGAAAAUAAUAAAUAAAGUGCUCAAUGAGGAUUAGGUCCCUCAUGCCUCUGUAUCCUUAUAAUGCAAUAAGGAAUUCAAAGCUCCGUAGUUUAUAAAACUAAUGGUGGGAGAUGAAAGAAGAGUGAUAAAGGUAUGGUUUGAACCAAAGGAUAGUGUGUCCUGAACCCAUAGGGUAUGUAUAUUUGAACCCAAAAGGAAAGCUAGCAUAUGGCCAAAAAAGAAAGGUAUUUGCCUAUAUAAGGACUUACAUGAACAUGAAAGGAAGUGUAUGUCUAUACAAGACAUGCAACUCUUGGAUCAAAUAUGGGCAUUGGUUAUUGGCCCAAAAAUAUGUAUGGAGCUCAAAGAAAUAAUGUAUUUGGCUCAAAGAGAGAGUAUACCACAUGGGAUGAAUGAAGGUAAAAGAUAUUAAAUAAAGUUAGUGGAUAGUGAAUAAUGGAAUAUGAAUGGUAGGAUAGAGAGAAAUAAUCAGGGUAGGAGGAAUUGAAAGAUUAGGUAAAAAUGACAUAAGGUAUAAUUUGGAACCAAAGGAUAAAGGUGUAGUUGGAAUUUGUAAAGGGGAUGAAAUUGUUGGUGUAAGCCCUAGAGGCCAAUACUUUUGGUACUUGUAUCGAAUAAUAAAAAGGCAUUUUCUUUAUUAUGGUUGAUUAAUAAAGUCCCUAGAAUAGAUAGUCCGUUUAAUGUAUUAAGUGUAUUUAAGUGUGACUUUAAUCGUGAGAACACAUUACACAUAAGAGGCACUAUUCUUAAAGUAUCCAUAGUCGAGCUUUAGUGUGAGUGGGAUACAUUAAGCAUUAAGACUAUUAUCUUGUAGCUGAUGAUCACAUCUCAUGGAUCAUGGAUAAAGAGUUAUCAAGUCUUAAACUAGGUAUGCAAUAUUAGAGUAAUAUUUAUACCGGAUUGACCCGCUAUGAGAUACUAUUAUAGAUGUUAUGCAAAGUGUCAUAAGUUAUUCUCAUGGUGAUAAUGGUGUAUACCACUCUUCGACCUGAACUGAAACCACUAUGGUCCUAGAUGUAGAGUCGGUUGCUUUAUGCUGAUCCACGUUGUCGUAACUGGAUAACCAUAAAGACAGUUGAUGGGUCCUACGAGCAUGCUGAGGACAUGAUGACCUAGAUGGAAUUUGCCCAUCCUGCAUAACAGGAAAUGUCUAUGGGCCCAUAUUGAACUGGACAAGGAUGACACGGUCUAUGCCUGUGUUCAAUAUAGAGAAUAAGGGCAAAAGGUAAUUAUAUACAUUAAUUUUUCAGAUGGUUUUGUCAGAUCACAUGAAUUUUCGUGUCUCGGGUAGCAGUGAUGGUUGCUAGAUACCGCUCACUGUUUAUUAUGGUAAAUGCGUGAUUUAAUAUAAUGCCAACGUCACGAAAACCUACAGGGUCACACACAAAGGACGGAUUGAUGAGAGAUAGAGUAACUAAGGAAUACCGUAAGGUACGGUGCCCUUAAGUGAAUUAUAGAACAUCGUAAGGUACGGUGUACUUGAGUAGAAUACGAAAUAUGGUAAGUACCAUGGGCUUAAGUGAUUUUGGGCAUAUUAUAAGAUAUGGGCCAAAAUACACUUAAGUGGGCCUUUUAGCUUGAAGCCCACACAAGUGGUUCUAUAAAUAGAACCCUUGUGCAGAGCAUUAAUAGCGUUGCAUUAUUUUCGUUUUUCUCACUCUCUCUUCAUCAAAGCCUUCAUUCGUACCAGCUAGCACUGAGAUUGAAGGAACCCGUUCGUGUGGACUGAGUAGAGACGUUGUCAUCGUUCAACAUUGUGAUCGCUUGUGAUCUGCAUCACAAAGUUUUGAUCGUCACAAGAGAUCUGCACCAAAGGUUUCAAUCGUCGGAAGAGGUAAAUAUUCUAUCACUGAUCAUGACCAUUCGUAAGGAUAUCUAAGGGAAAAUUUUAAUUUUCGUGCGUUUUGGACCGCAAUUCUCCUUCAGUGGUAUCAGAGCCACUACGAAACCAUGACUCGGAUAGCUAUUUAUUUUCUGUAUUAAUAUGAUUAAAAGACAGAAUGAAUCAAUUAAUUAAAGGGUAUUAAAUUUGGCAUCAUGAGUGUACGAGUUGGAUGAUUGAUGUUGACUUAUGCUUCGGUACACAUUAGUAUGGUGAAGCAGCGAUACAUCGAUCGUCCAUAGGUUACGCAAUUGAGACCGAUCAGCUUAUAUAUGAUAUAAGUAUCCUAAUGCAAAGUACGGUAUAUAGUGAUUUACCGUUUCUGUUUCGUUCUAUUCAACACUAAGUGGUUGUUUUCUUUGACGAUCAAUGGUCAUUUGCUUCGAAAUCCGACAUUAGUAUGGUGAGCAAUGACCUGUUGAUCAAUCAUACUGAAUCAAUAAUCGAGGUGUGUUUGACGGUCUGAAAUUGGGCAUUAGGUUGGUGACGGCGCAAGGGUUGUGCCGUCAAGGAGUUGUGAAUUUAGGUUUUGAACAGGUCUGUGACUGUUUCAAAGUUCUGUUAUUUUGGAUGCGUAACGGUCGUAACAAGACGCGUGACGUUCGUACAGACCAUGACGGUCGUAACAAGGACGUGACGGUCGUCACAUGCUCACAGAUCCAAAUUGUAGGCCGUUUUGUUUUGGCCCCGUGACGGUCUAAAUGAUGCCUGUGACGGUCGUAACAUGCUUGUGAACCUGUGACGUCUGUAAUCCGGUACGUCCACUCACAGGGUCAGAAUUCUUGGGGUUUCUGUUUUGUGACUACGCAGGUUGUGUCAUGCAAAACAAUGUCAUUUCAAAUGAAUUGUUCAUUAAAUUUGGACAGGGUGCUGCCCUCCAACCCCGGCUAACUCUGCGUAGUGUGAUCGGUCGCCCGAAAUUUAUUGGUUUAAUUAAUUAAAGGAAUUAAAUUAAUAAUAAUAAUGUGUUUUUAUUAUUGCCUUGUGGUGAUCAGUUAUGGCCUUAGUCUUCCUUCAUUUUGUUGGGUUUUUAAAUACGACCUGCGUGUCGUGCCUCUCCUUUGAUCUCUUAAUGUACUUCUUUUCUCAUCUCAAACCCUCGUAUCUAAACGAGUUUCUUCUGUAAUGUAAUGAGAAGAAAGAAGACAAUGUUAUGAGAAAGAGAGGAAUAAUUCAUUCAAAGGAGGACAACCUUGAGAUCUUGCUUGGAGAGCUUAGAGAAGAAUUCAAUAUCAAGGAGGAUAACCUUGAAGAUCUUGCUUGGAGAAGCUUAGAUUGUUAUUAGGUUAGCUUAGGUUCUCUCAUUGGCUUGUGAGAACAAUUGCGUAGCGGGCCAUAACUGUUUCAUUGUGUAUGUAUUUGAUGAUGUUAUGUAUUUGAUGCAUGAGAAUAUGUGUUGAUGCAUGUGAGAGACGUUUGUAUGAUAAUAAAGAGGUGAGAUCAUAAAUGCAAUUUCCUCAAUUAAAUAUUAAGUUUAUGCUUCAGUUUUAACACUCAUCAAGACUAGUAAUGGAUAAUGUAGGUUCGCCUACGCGAGGUGCAUGAUCUUAUAAUUAGUAAGGUGCGAUGGAUAAUUGUAAUAUCCACUGUUAACAAUGGGUCAAACUUAAUAAACAAAUUUGAGAAUAUAUAUGUUUGCUUUCCAAGUUUAGCACUCAUCAGACUGGUAUCGAUAAUAGUAGGUUUCGCCUACGCGAGGUGCUGUUUGUAUUAGUCAAGGUGCGAUGGAAUUGUAAUAUCCAACUGCUAAACGAUGAGUCAACUUAAUUAUAUUCUAUAUAUUGUUUAGAGCAAGAGUUGGGAAUAAUCCAUUAUGGGAUUGGAAAGGAGUUAUUCACCAACUGAAAUUUUCAGAGGUUGUAUGAGAUACAACUGGAAGGAGUUCCUACCUAAAUAACCAGUUUGUGUAAUCGCCUACGCGACGGGACUAGAACGAAGGAAUAUGCGGCUCGACCCACAGAAAUCUUCCCAACGGGACUAUUUGCCGAAUCAAAUGUGAGGUCAUUUGUUUUGAGUAAACUAGUGGAAGCAUAUUUUGAUUAAAGGCCUAAUUAAAUAUUCAUAUACUUAUUUUUCUUUAAUCCUUAUAGUAGGAUAACCAUGACAACAAAACAUUAACAAACAUCUUGCGAUCAAUCCUUGACAAGGAACAUUCUCUGGGACAAUUCCUGGUAUGCAACCGACCUGAGGAUUGUCUCAAACAUGAUAAAGCUGGUAUGUCUUGGAGACACCUAGUUCCUGAAGAGGAACUUCCUGAAUUCUGCACCUAAGGCAGAAAGAGCAUGCUUAUAAGAAGCAUGUCGAUGAAAUGCCCAAUGAACUGCUUGUCUCAUUGCUGGCUACAUGAACUCAGAAUUGCAAAACAACAUGAGAACAUGGUACGCGUUCGAUAUGAUCGAACACCUGAAGUCUUUCAAGAGCGAAGCAAGCAUGAGAGGUUUGAGUUUCAAAGCCCCUUUUCAAAGCAAGUUAGCUGAGGAGCCUGUGUAGGUUCCCCAUUACUCAAUAUUUGGGGUAUGUGGAAACCUUGAUAGAUUGUUUUCCCUCGAAAGAACUUGGUGACUUUGAUUUGAUCUUGCAACGUGACCAGAUUGUCAGUCAAUUCGUCCAAUUUUCAUAUGAUUGAUAUGGAUAAAUCUCUUCCUGAACUUGCUCGCCAUGUUAAGACUGCCGGCAGAAUCUGAAGUCAAAGGGAGUCCAUUAUGAUAUCGGAAUGGAAGAGCAGACAAAGGCACCAAGCAGGGUGAUCAAAGGGAAAGCAAGGAGGUGUCAACCAGACCCACUGUUGCUGCUUUAAAGACCUGUGAAGGCUGCAAGAAGAAGGGCACCUCUUUCCAUAUGUUUUUUCAUGUAAGACCGGCACUGGAGAGGAACUGCCCAAAAGUACCUUGGAAGAAAGAAGAAUGGAAGUAGAGACUUCACUCAGGUAUUUUGUUAUUAACUUAAUCUACUUUACUGCAUCAUGGUAUAGGAUAUUGAUGCGCGGUGCUCACAUUGUCACAAAUGUGCAGGGACUGAAAGAGGAAGUAAGAGAUAUUCGGCAAAAAGUGAGUUGACCUCGCUGGCAAUGGAAGCAGGUAUAGACCUACUCUUAGCGCUAAGGAUUUAUGUAUUGACUAAUUACCUAGUAGCCGUUUUAAAAUCAGUUACAGAGAACUGUAUACGGUACCUCAAUUAGCAGGAGAUUAAUAGCAUUUCUUGUUUGCAUUUAUUUCUUCUUAUAUAUACCAAGACAUUGUGACGUCAUUUAUCUGAAUAAGAACUAGGAUUCUAAUGCUACUGCACAAUGAAACGCAAUGAAACUAUAUGUCCAUUGAUCUCGAAUAGCAUACUUAAUCCAUGCUAAAUACUAAACAAGGGUGAAAACCAAACGAGUUCUAAAACACACUAAAGGUAAAGAAUAAUUAAAAAUACUAAUCUGAUACAAGAUCAGAGGUGAACGUGAGUAUUUACGCGCAUAGCGUUGAAACAGACCAUCUGAACGAGCAUAGUGGAGAUACCAACUACUCAACCAACUCAUCCCUCAUAGGAAACACCCCAAUGCGACAAUCGGAAAUGAUAUACUGAGAGAGAACAUCGACCCUUUUAACAUGUACAGCUCCAAAUGAUGCAGUUCACGCCGAAUUUCCAAAAAUCCAUCUUCGGGACAUAGCAACUAAUGUAGACCAAGCAAUUUCACAACGACCUUAACAUGUUCAAUCCAAAAAGGACUUGAAGAGAACACAUAUGAAGAUAAUAGGCAAUGAUAGAACCACCAUCAAUGUAGUUUAAACAAUAAGAUUUGGAAACAGUCUGCCAGAGUUUAUGUGAAACCGACAAAAUUUCAACUAAGGACGUAGAGCCCAAAUUGCAAAUGCCUUAAUAUUGUAGAGGAGUAUCACUAAAGACACAAGAGGAUUUCCUUCUACAAAAUCACUUAACUGAAAGGACAAAAUGUUUGAACUCGCCUCAACAGGAGAAAGUCUUUCCAUAGAACAGGAAUUUUAAUUUCCAAGACACAGUCGGGAAGCUAGAGCUUAAGAAGAAUUACAGAACUCAAAAAAGCAAUCAGAACACCUAAUGACAGAGGAUUGGAGAAGCUAGUUGAUUGUCACGAGCACCAAAAAAACAACACACAUGCCUAAGUAGACAAGCCAGCGUCAUAGUUAAUAGGCAGGUACUCACCUAACUGAGUUAUGAGCAUCAACGGUGAUAGAAUCUCAUGGAUCAGAUGAGGCUGUCCUACUCAUGGAGAUCUUCGUUUGAUGAUAGGUAAACAAUAUGGAUUCUCAAGAACGAAGAGGAGCCGUGUGUCUACAAGAAGGUUAGUGGGAGCAUGAUCGUAUUCCUGGUAUUAUAUGUAGAUGACAUAUUACUCAUUGGAAACGAUAUCCCUACCCUGCAACAAGUAAAGUCUUGGGUGGGGAAAUACUUUUCUAUGAAGGACCUAGGUGAAGCAGCCUAUAUAUAUUAGGAAUCAGAAUCUAUAGAGAUAGAUCAUAAAAUGCUUGGCCUAAGUCAGAGUACAUAGACAAGGUGCUGAAACGCUUUAAUAUGAAUGAUUCCAAUGGUUAUGUGUUUUGCUGAAAUGGUGGCGUUGUGAGCUUGAAAAGUUCAAAGCAAGAUACAGUUGCUGAUUCUACAACCGAGGCCGAGUGUAUUGCUGCCUCAAAUGCAGAAAAGGGAGUUGUUUGGAUCAAAAGUUCAUUAGUGAACUUAGCAUAGUCCCUAGCAUUGUGGAUCCCAUUGGUCUCUAUUAUGAUAACAAUGGUGCUAUCGCACAAGCUAAGAAGCCUAGAUCUCACCGACGAUCCAAACACAUACUUAGGCGUUAUCAUCUCAUUCGAGAGAUAAUAGAUAGAGGAGAUGUGAAAAUAUGUAAUAUACCUACACUUGACAAUAUAGUUGACCCACUGACAAAGCCUCUUGCGCAGCAGAAGCAUGAUGGCCAUACUAGAUCAAUGGGCAUACGGGGUAUGCCUGAUUGGCUCUAGUGCUAGUGGGAGAUUGUUGGUGUAAGCCCUAGAGGCCAAUACNCUGAUCCAUGAAAGUUGUAAUAGUCUAAAUUCAUCUUUCUUUUAUCGCUUUCAUUGCAUGCUAAUUAAAAGAUAAAAUUAAAUGAUAAAUAAAUCUUUUUCAGAAAAAAAAAACACACUUGAUCCUGUCAAGUAUUUCCAAAUAAAUCAAAUCAAUGCAACGCGAGUGCUUGAUCCAAUUUCAAGUAUCUCUCUCCAUUCCAUAUCCUAUCUUUAUCCGAUUCUCAUGCAAUUCUUCUAUUUCUUUAUCUCAUUCUAUCUUGAUCGAUUCCCACUCAUCAAAUUUUAUAGUAAAACUUGGAGAAAAAUGGGUGUAACUUGUGCAAACAUUCAAGUACUUGGUUGUGGUCGUACAUAGCUUGGGGCCUCGAUGCUUGACUUCGUUUUAAACACUUAAUCUAUAAACAUGAGUCCAAAUCGUUACUCUAAGAGUUAAAGAGUGGUUAGAUGAAGUUGUCCUCUCAACUCACAAAUACUCGAUUGUCGUCGUACUGAUAGCCGAUGUUGCGACACCCGACUUCCUCUAUACUAAUGGUUAACUCUAAAAUAAAUUCGUUAAUUACUAAAUCAACUCCAAAUUUCUAUCUACUUGCGGUACUCUUACCUGUUCAUCCUUACCCUUUGUCAAUAUCCUGGAAUAUCACUUUCAUUUCUCAACAAUUGUUGAAUUAUUCUUCUUGGAAGAAAAUCCUUAUCCAUUUGAUUCUAUACAUAUCCUUUUGUGGGCCAAUAACUAAUGCCCACCUUUAAUCAAGAUUUUUGUAUUGUAACAAACAUUUCAUUCCUUCUUUUUUGCCAAUAUGCCUAUUUACUCUUCUAUUUAGAAUUUAUCCUUCAUGAUUCACAUACCAUUUAUAUUUUGGUUUCAGAUAGUCUGCUCCCCCACAGUGAUUAAUAUUUCCUUGACCAACACCAUAUUCCUUUGGGUCAUAUCAUAUCCUUUUUGGGCAAAUAACCAGUGCCCAUUAUGAACCAAAAUAUGUUUGUCUUGAUGACCAAACUUCAUUCCUUUCUUUUUGGCCAAUAGCUUGUUUACUCUUUGGUUCAAAGUUCAUUACCUUUAUGGUUCCAAUGCUACAUUGUAUUUUGGUGCAGUAUAUUUCAUCACUAUAUAAUAAAUUAAUAUUUCUGCUUGUUCCGCAUAAUUUUUCAUUAAUACAAACUCUGACUUUCUCAUUGCACCAAUGAGAAACGUAGCACAGACUUAGAACCCUUGAUAGCCAAUCAUAUUAUUCAUUUCUUCCUUAUUACUCCAUCUAUAUCUUUGUGAUCCAUAAUCUAUUUUCAAUCAUAACCAUCCAUCUCAGUACAUAUGUCUUUCUCGACCAAAUACCAAUAUUCCUUCAAUAUCCAUACUUACCCUUUGCCAAUAAACAAGCUACAUUUGCAUAAAGAGUGUUUAUCUUGUGCCAACAUUUAUUCUUCUUUUUUCGCAAUUGCCUACUUUCCUAGUUGGUGCAAAUUUUGAAGAGAAUUGCGUCCAAAACGCAGCGGAAAUUAAAAUUUUCUCCUUUAGAGAUCCUUACGAAUGUCAUGACAUUAAAUAUUUACCUCUCUCGACGAUUGAAACCCUGUGCAGAUCUCUUGUGACGAUCAAAACUUUUGAUGCAGAUCCACGAGCGAUCACGAACGUUGAACGAUGACAACGUCUCUACUCAGUCCAACGAACGAGUCCUCAAUCUCAGUGCUAGCUGGUACAAUGAAGGCUUUGAGUGAGAGAAGAGAUGAGAAAACGAAAAUAAUGCAACCGCUAUUAAUGCUUCUGCACAAGUUCUUUAUAGAACCACUUGUAUGAGCUUCAAGCUAAAAGACCCACUUAAGUGUAUUUUGCCCAUAUCUUAUAAUAUGCCCAAAAUCACUUAAGCCCAUGGUACUUACCAUAUUGUUCUACUCAAGUACACCGUACCUUACGAUGUCUUAAUUCACUUAAGGGCACCGUACCUUACCGUAUUCUUAGUUACUCCUAUCUCUCAUCAAUCUCCUUUGUGUGUGACCCUGUAGUUUUCGUGACGUUUGGCAUUAUAUUAAAUCACGCAUUUAACAAAUAAACGUGAGCGGUAUCUAGACACACUCACUGACGACCCAAACACGAAAACAUGUGAUCUGACAAAACCAUCCUGUGAAAUAAUCAUGUGUAUAAUUACCUUUGCCCUUAUGUCUAUAUUGAACACAAGGCAUAGACCGUGUCAUCCUUGUCCAGUUCAAUAUUGAGCCCAUAGACAUUUAUCUGUUAUGCAGGAUGGGCAAAUUCCAUCUAGUCACUCAUGUCCCUCAGCAUCUCGUGAGAUACCCAUCAACUGUCUUUAUGUUAUCCAGUUACAGACAACUGGAUCAGCAAUAAAGCACUCGACUCUACAUCUAGAUCCAGUGGUUUCAGGCGAAGAUGAUACACCAUUAUCCCCAUGAGAAUAACUUAUGACACGUUGCAUAACAUUCUAUAUAGUAUUCUCAUAGCGGGUCAAUCCGGUAUAAAUAUUACUCCUAAUAUUCAUACCUAUGUUAAACUUAUAACUCUUUAUCCCAUGAUCCAUGAGAAUGUAUCAUCCGUCUACAAACAUAAUAGUCCUUAAUGCUUAAUAUUUUUCCCACUUCACACUAAAGCGCGACUACGGAUACUUUAAGAAUAAUGCCCUUAGUUAAUGUGUUCUCAUGAUUAAGUCACACUAAUACAUUAAAGGAAUAGACUAUUCUAGCGACUUUCUUAAAUCAACCAUAAUAAGAAAAUACAUUUUACUAUUCGUCACAAUACCAAAAAGUAUGCCCUCUACGCUCUACACAACAUCGUAAGGUACGGUGUACUUGAGUAGAAUACGAAAUAUGGUAAGGUACCAUGGGCUUAAGUGAUUUUGGGCAUAUUAUAAGAUAUGGGCCAAAAUACACUUAAGUGGGUCUUUUAGCUUGAAGCUCAUACAAGUGGUUCUAUAAAUAGAACCCUUGUGCAGAAGCAUUAAUAGCGGUUGCAUUAUUUUCGUUUUUUCUCACUCUCUCUCUCACUCAAAGCCUUCAUUCGUACCAGCUAGCACUGAGAUUGAAGGAACUCGUUCGUGUGGACUGAGUAGAGACGUUGUCAUCGUUCAACGUUCGUGAUCGCUUCGUGGAUCUGCAUCAAAAGUUUUGAUCGUCACAAGAGAUCUGCACCAAAGGUUUCAAUCGUCGGAAGAGGUAAAUAUUCUAUCACUGAUCAUGACCAUUCGUAAGGAUCUCUAAAGGAGAAAAUUUUAAUUUCCGCUGCGUUUUGGACCGCAAUUCUCCUUCAGAAAUUUGCACCACAUAGGAAAGUAGGCAUAUUGGCCGAAAAGAAGAAGAAAUAAAAUGUUUGGCAUCAAGAUAAACAACUCUUUAUGCAAAUGUAGGCAUUGUUUAUUGGCCCAAAGGGUAAGUAUGGAAUCUUGAAGGAAUAUGGUAUUUGGUUCAGAGAAAGACAAUAUGUCACUGAGAUGGAUGGUUAUGAUUGAAAAUAGAUUAUGGAUCACGAAAGAUAUGAAUGGAUCCCUAAGGAAGAAGAUAGAAUAAUUAUGAUUGGCUCAUCAAGGGUUCUAAGUCUUGUGCCUACGUAUUCUCAUUGUGCAAUGAGAAAGUCAGAGUUUCGUAGUUCAUGGAAUUAAUGCGGAACAAGGACAGAAAUAUUAAUUUGAUAAUAAGUGAUGAAAAGUAUAACUUGCACCAAAAUACAAUGGUAGCAUUGGAACCCAUAAAGGUAAAUGAACUUUGAACCAAAGAGUAAACAUGCAUAUUGGCCAAAAAAGAAAGGAAUGAAGUGUUUGGCAUCAAGACAAACAUAUUUUGGUUCAUAAUAUGGGCACUGGUUAUUUGCCCAAAAAGGAUAUGUAUAUGACCCAAAGGAAUAUGGUGUUUGGUCCAAGGAAAUAUUAUAUCACUGUGGGGGAGCAGACUAUCUGAAACCAAAAUAAAAUGGUAUGUUGAAUCCAUGAAGGAAUAAAUUCUAAAUAGAAGAGUAAAUAGGCAUAUUGGCCAAAAAAGAAAGGAAUGAAAUGUUUGUUGACAAUACAAAAAACUCUUGAUUUAAAGGUGGGCAUUAGUUAUUGGCCCACAAAAGGAUAUGUAUAGAAUCCAAAUGGAUAAGGUAUUUUAUUCCAAGAAAGAUAAUUCAACAUUGUUGAGAAAUGAGAAGUGAUAUUCCAGGAUAUUGGACAAAGGGGCAAGGGAGACAAUAAGAGUACCCUAAGGUAGAAGAAUAUCUUGGAGUUGAUUGUAAUUAUGAAAUUUAUUUUACGAGUUUAACCAUUAGUACUUAGAGGAAGUCGGGUGUCGAACCAUCGGCUAAGUACGACCGACAAUCAGAGUAUUUGUGAGUUGAGAGGACAACUUCAUCCUAACCACUCUUUAACUCUUAGAGUAACGAUUUGGACUCAUGUUUAUAGAUUAAGUGUUUUAAACAGAAGUCAAGCAUCGAGGCCCCAAGCUAUGUACGACCAACAACCCAAGUACUUGAAUGUUGUGCACAAGUACGUACACCCCAUUUUUCAUCCAAGUUUUACUAUGAAAAUGAUUUGAUGAGUGGGAAUCGAUCAAGGAUAGAAUGAGAUAAGAAUAGAAUGAAUUGCAUGAGAAUCGGAUAAAGAUAGGAUAUGGAAUGGAGAAAGAGAUACUUGAAAUUGGAUCAAGCACUCGCGUUGCAUUUGAUUUGAUUUAAUUUGGAAAAUACUUGACAUUGGAUCAAGUGUGUUUUUUAUUCUUUUGAAAAAGAUUUAUUUAUCAUUUAAUUUUAUCUUUUUAAUUAGCAUGCAAUGAAAGCGAUAAAAGAAAGAUGAAUUUAGACUAUUACACUUUCAUGGGAGAGGGGGACAUAUAACCCACCAUGAGGGGAUGAUAUACCAUACAAUACAAAGAUAGAAAUGGGAUCAUACAAGUUACAAACCAAGUACCAUGCAUAAAACAAUCAACUGGCAUGGUACCCCUAAGUAUUAACAAACAAUACAAAUGUAAAUGGAAGGUAAAAUACAAUGGUGAUGAUAAAGGACAUAGAGAUCAAACUUAAAGUCAAAUUAUCUAAACAAUCACACAAGGUAAUGAAGUUAGAAUGAGAUCAAACAAGGUUAAACAAGUAAUCCAAGUUCAACCCAUAGACUCUUCAUAGAAAAUCAAUAAGGAAUGGACAUUAAUCACACGUGUAUGAUAAGAAAAGGUACCUAAACAAGUCAACCACGAUAAAUUGAAAUGGCAUUUUCAAUUUCCACAAGAUAACCCUAACCCAAAUGAAAAAAUUAAAUGGAUAUUAAAGUGAGUACUGAAUUCAAUGAUCAAAAUUACCUAAACAUGAAUUAGGAAUCAAAUGGACCAUUAAAUUAAAUGUACUCAACACGGACAAUCAUGCCAAUAGUAAAAACUCUCAAUUAAAAUAUGAGUAAAAAAUUAACAAAAAUUCUAGAGAAGAUUAAUCAGAAAAAUGACCAAAUUAAAUCCUAUUUUUCAUGAUAAAAACAUUCUAAUUAUAAUAGCAUUCAUGGCAAAAAUAAUAGCACAAAAAAUAUUAUAAAAAAUGUGUAAAAAGAUCAAGAAAAGCACAAGAAAUAAAGGGGUUCAGAAACUGAAACAAGGUUGUAAUGCAAUUUGGGCGCAUGGGUCUUGUAAGCCAAAGCCCAAUUAAAAUGUAAUGCAGCUUGGGGGGUGCACUGGCCAAAAACAAAGUGUAUAGCAGUAAUUUUGGUCCAAAGCCCAUUACAAGGCCUAAAACAGAACUAACAAUCAAAGGCCAAAAACGAAAUGGAUAAGGAUAUUAAUGAGGUGAAGUGUGAGUCAAUAGAGUUUGCAUGGUCAGUUAAACGGGUAUGAUUAAAUUGCCAUGAAUGCACGCGUGAGCACAUGAAUUGACGGUCAGAUGAAUAAUGCACAUGGGAAAAAAUAAUCAAAAGGGCAAACAGAACACAACGAGUAACCAACACAUUCUCGCUCCUUCUCACUCAGUCAUUAUCUUUGUCGUGCCGGAGGCUCCCUCAGUGGCAGAGAUUCCCCAUAAAUCCCAAUUUUCAAUGCCAAUCUCUCUCUCUCAACCUCUACUUACCGAAGCCAAAAAUUGUUUCCUCCAAUUUCUACACACUCAACCAAAUCGAGCAAUUUUGGCCAAGAACACUAAAUCCUAUAACUUAAAUUAAAUCACAACCAAGCCUCAAAUUGUUCCAAAACCAAAGGGUACCACUCUCCUACCUCUAAACAAUCACUUGGUAACGAAAAUUGGAAAGAAAAAGAUGAAAUUUAGAAGACCUUAUCGGAGCAGAUCGGAGAUGAAGACGAAAACGGAAACUGGGUGUGCUGUAAUCCUUUUCUAUUCUGCUUCUUCUCUCUUCUUUGGUCUUCUUCUUAUCUCUUCUUCAUAUGUUAUUGCUAUUCUUCUAGUGAGGAUGAUUGAGAGUGAAUAGUAGUGAUUGUUGAAAAAUUUAUGAUUGCUCUGAUUGCGUCAAUUUUUGUGACUGGAAUGAAUAGGUGAUGAUUGUUCUGUGUGAUUCUGUGUGUGAUUGAUUGUGUGAGUGAUUAAUCUUAUGAUUGUGUGAUUCUAUGAUUGAGAGAGUAUAAAGAGGGAUUCAAUGAUAAAAUGAUUGGUUAAGUGAUUGAGUGUGUGAUUGUGUGAACUUUUCCACCUCCUUAAUAAUGAAUGAUGAAGAUCAUUUAUAGGGAAAAUGAGUCUUAAUAGAGUUUCUUUAAUUAUGUUCAGUUCUGAAUGUGCACGUUAGUUGAGUCAACUAACUCUGUUAGGCUUCAGAAUUUGUACCCAAAUUUAGUUUGCUAUAACAGUUUGUUAGGGUAUUUUGUUUGUUGUUAUUAUUUAUUUUAUUAUGAUAGUUGUUGAAUGAUUAGUUAGUUACAAUUUUGUUAGAUUUUAGUUAGUUAGUUGUUGUUAUGGCAUGAUUUCUGUUAGGUUAUGAUUCAGUUAGUUGGUGGGAUUAAUGAGUGAAUAUAUUAGUAACUGUUAUAAGAAUACUGUUAUGUUAUAUGUUGAGUUGUUACGACUGAACUCUAUUAAGUAUUUUUCACCCUUGAAUUUCCCUGCUGCUGUUAUACCCUAUUAUUGUUAUGCUUGAUUAUGAAUUUUCGUGCCAUUUUCGUGGACAUAUCUGCUAUGGGCCUUCUCAUUGUUGGGUUGCAACUUGUUGUGAAUUCAUGGUUGUUUAUGUUGAGUUAUGUGUUGGAUAUGAAUGGCUUGCAUUCCCUGAUGUUUAACAUGUUAUGUUGCUGCUAAAGGUGAAAUGUUAUGAUGUUUUGUUGUUUGAAAUGUGUGGAAAUAUGAAUGCAUAGCCUGAUGUUAUAUGAUAUAUGAAUGUUUGUUAUUUCUAAUGUGAUGAAUUUUUUAUGUAUGGACUGUUGUAUGAGCUGCUAUGAGGCUAUGAAUUUGUUGUCAUGGAUGUACAUGAAGAAUGGUUGUUAAUGUGAAUCAAAUAAUGCCAUGCUUGUUUGGUAAUGAUGCUAUGAAUUUUGGGUCAUGUGUGGUAUGUUUUAAUGGUGUUAAUGAUUCAUCAUUGCUUAGAAUAUUUUGCAGGGCUGAAACAUGUGUGCUUGCAUUGCAUUGACCAUGAUUGAAGCUUGGCAUGGAGGUUCAUGAUGGGAACUUAAAGAAAUCCAAAGGUUACCUGUUCAUGAAGAAAUGUGCUUGGUUAUGGAAUCAAAUGGAAAGAAAUAAAGAGAAUGAAGAAUCAAGGGUCAUUAGGGUUAGGGAUGUGGAAAUUAGGUUAGUUGACUCUUUAGUCAACUGGUUAACCAAAAAAUCAACAAUUGACCAAAAGUCAAUUGUAGGUCAAACUUUGAUUUUUUUUUGUAAUUUUUAUAUGGAACUUUGUAAAUAGUGAUUAUAUUAUAAAAUAGACAAUAUUUUGAAUGAGAUGGUCUUUUAUGAUUCAAAGAAA